rnacentral:tRNA from 1 species
ACAUUGUUGGUUCAAUAGUGGAAUUCUCCCCUUCCAUGUGGGAGACCUGGGUUCAAUUCUCAGCCAAAGUA